GCCCCUACGCGCGCCCUUAGUUGCCGGAAAUCUCGGUUAAGCGGUGGGUGGUCAAAGACAAAGUGUUGCUUGCUGUUCCACCAUCGAACGAUUCCAGCGGCGCGACGCGCGUCCCAGCGGGAGAGGCCUUUUAUCCCCUCCACCCCUCAUCUCCCUCCCGCACGCGAAGGGGCGCAAGAGAGCAUGGCGGAAGGUCGGCUGCAAGAUUGAAGCGGCACUAGGCAAGCUCGAGGGACGUAGGCCGGAAGCCGUGGCUGUCUCCAUGAAGGCCGUCCUCGGAGCCUACCUCGGCGUGCACGUAUUGGCGGCGUUCCCCAUGAUUUCACCCGUAUGGCUGGGCUCUUCUCAGGGCGGAAACGCUCCUAGGCUUGCUGUAGAUCGAGGGAGGCCGCGGCCAAGGGGACCUGCAUCGUGACGCAGGACAUGGACUUCAUGGUGAGGGAUGAGGGCGAGCACAUGUCGCCACUGCAGUUCACGACUUCUCUCGGUCACCGAUUCCGGUGUUCCCCGCCACUGGCAUCUUUAUUUGCGAUUCUGUCGAUGAUGACCUCUUAUUUCCUUCCAUGGUAUGUGGUGCUUCGGUUAGACCUGCAGAUUCAAUUGCAUUUUUUGACGAUUUGUUUUCCUAUCCGUUCAUUAUUGUUUGCAGGCUGCUCCUACCGCCGAUUAAUUUCACGACCCUGAAGUUCCUUUGGUCUUCACGAAGGAUCGAAUCAGGACUUUCACAUGUUCAGCUGCUGUGAUUCUGUCUUCUUUUGCAUGAAACCAUGCUAACCACGCCUCUUCAAAAAAGAUUCAGGUGCUCUUAGUGCAACAAUAUAAUUGCUCUGCUUGGUAGCGCAUGCUGAAGCGAUGGCCUGCAUGGUUGGUGCAAUGUAAGCUCAAUACUUCUUCAUAUAGGUUUCCACAGGUUCUCGAUGAGUAUGCGUGGUGUUGCAGGCCAUCGGCGAGUCCGACCUGCUUCUUUACCUCCUCCAGCUCCACGCCAUUGUCAUGGGCUGGAUGCUGUUAUUGAUGUGUCGCCGCCUCGCCGUGGUGGUUCUUCUGCUGAUACACAGAUCCAAGGCGGUGUAGGCAUCCUGUUCCUGAGCAAGGUCGUGGCCAAUCGGCUUCUUCUGAUACAUCUCAUAUGAAACAAUCAAACUAUAGGCAUGUACACCAUCCACAUAUUCGAUUAAAGGCCCAAUCAACAUUAUUUACAGGAAAUUUGACCUUGCAUGAUGGAUCUACAAGGGCUAUGGUCUUCACCAGGUGAGCUAAAUCCACCUUGCAGUUGUCAAUGGGCAGUUACUUCAUCAUCAACUGUAUGACUUCAAUUGAAGUUAAGCUCAAUCAUUGCAUAUGUAACUGCUACCGUCAUUACUUUAAAAGGACAUUUUAGUUUAAUGAUUAGUCUGGUAGUCAAAUAUGUCGGACAUCCUGUACGGAAAGCACAUACGUGGGCUCAAGCUUUGCUUACACUACUAUGCAUAGUAACAUAAUAUCCAUGCUUUGGAUUUUCGGCAAACAUGACAAAUUGAGUGCUACAAUGUAUGUGGAUUCAUUCCUCUUAGUAUGUGAUGAUGAAAACUUUGCAAUGCUCCUUGACUAGCAUAUCUACUCAGUAAUCUGUCUGGCUUGAAUCUGUGAAAUAUACAAAAAAAGGGACUUUUUUUUGCUUUUAUCAUGACUAAAUACCUCAAGUUUUUUUUGUUAAUGGUUAAAUCAGAAACUUGUAACCACGAGUGUGGUUCAAGCAGCGCUAUGAAUGAAGACACUAGACCAUCUCUAAUUAAAAGCAAAAGAUAUUUUGACAAUGUGUUCGGUAGGUAUUUUAUUUUUUGAGAAUUGGUAAGGCUAAUUUUGACUAUCAGAGAUAAAAAUAAUAUUUAAACAAAAAGAAGCAAACUGUGGUCAUACAUCUUUCUUUCUAUGAAAAAAGUGAACAAUUAUUCAUUUGAUUAUUACGCAUGCGAUGCCUAAAGUUAUAUGGCAAGCCAUUUGGAACUAUGUUGAUGGUGCCUGCUAUCUCUUCGCACAUUAAACGACACUAGACCAUCUCUAAUUAAAAGUAAAAAUAUUUUCACAAUGUAUUCAGUAGGGCUUU